rnacentral:rRNA from 1 species
AGUGAACGCUGGCGGUAGGCCUAACACAUGCAAGUCGAACGGCAGCACAGUAAGAGCUUGCUCUUACGGGUGGCGAGUGGCGGACGGGUGAGGAAUACAUCGGAAUCUACUUUUUCGUGGGGGAUAACGUAGGGAAACUUACGCUAAUACCGCAUACGACCUACGGGUGAAAGCAGGGGAUCUUCGGACCUUGCGCGAUUGAAUGAGCCGAUGUCGGAUUAGCUAGUUGGCGGGGUAAAGGCCCACCAAGGCGACGAUCCGUAGCUGGUCUGAGAGGAUGAUCAGCCACACUGGAACUGAGGCACGGUCCAGACUCCUACGGGAGGCAGCAGUGGGGAAUAUUGGACAAUGGGCGCAAGCCUGAUCCAGCCAUACCGCGUGGGUGAAGAAGGCCUUCGGGUUGUAAAGCCCUUUAGUUGGGAAAGAAAAGCAGCAGGUUAAUACCCCGCUGUUCUGACGGUACCCAAAGAAUAAGCACCGGCUAACUUCGUG